UUCCAUCCCUUGGAUCAUUUUUGUGGCCCUCCUCUGGAUGUGCUCCAACAGUUCCAUGUCUCUUCUGUACUGAGUACUCCACAUCUGAACGCAGAACAGAUGUAUAACAAAGUACACUGUGGUUUGUUCAUGGAUUAAACAAUUCAGCAUUUUGGACGUAAUCUGGAAUUACAUUGCUGCUUUAGGUGGUGUUUUGAUGCUCAGAAGAUCACAGACUACUCAUUCUCUGCAUGGCUCACAGAGAGGCUUGUUUGGACUCUGGGCUGUUUCUAUAACAUGCAUGUAUUUCAUUUGCCAUGGCAAACAAGGGCUCUAAAACCAGAAGUAUGUGCAACCAUUGGCUGGACAUGAUGAAUUUUACAAGGAAUACGUCUGAAGAAACUCUAUCUCUGAAGUAUCUGUUGAAGCAAACAGCCUCAUGUGUCUCCUAUUAUCCAAUGGAAGAACUGGAGGAGCAGAGAUGUGAAGCUGUCCGCUCAAAGCUAUAUAGGAGGCCAGUGACAAAUCCAGGAAUCCAAGCCAAAGCUCCUAAGUUGCAUUCUAAUUCUCUAAUCAGCACAGAAUUUGCCUUCUGGCAUUGUGAUGAGUGAGGACGUUUCGAGCAUUGGAAAUCACUUUUGGAAAUAUUGCUGUGAAUGUGCUGAAAGCAUGAAAAGCUCAAGUCCGGCUCCAUUAUAGCUGGAAUCUUCUCCAGCAGCCCCAGACAUUAGAGGUGCUGUGGGUACAGAAAUCCAUUACAGAUCCUAAUGCUGCCUGGCAUAUUGAGGAGCAUUUGUCAUCGUUUUGGCAAAGGUGUCAUUCUGGAAAAAGGAAAAUAUUGUGAAUCCCAGAAGUGGAGAAUUUGGCCGUGACAGAAAAAAAAAAUAAAAAGUUUGCUUUAAAAUACAGCUUUUGAAGGAUACGUUACUCCAAAUAAAAACCAAGACAAAGUUGGCUGGUCUACAUUGAAGCAGACUGUGAGAAUAUUUUCUCAGAAUCUUUGCACUACGUAACCCUGCCAUAUAACGAACAGAGGGCAGAGGGUGGUUGAAGCAAACCAAUGCCUGGUUAAUGAUGUCUCCUGCCUUUUGCAGUUGUGUGUGUCACCUUCACCACUGUGAACUCUCCUCCCAUGGUGACUAUCAAAUAGUGAUAAUCAUCAGUUUUUAUGAUGGGCUUUGGGCUUUAGUUCCCCCAAAGGGCAUACAGAAUAAGGUGAUGAAUGCAAAUCUCAUUUACUUUGAUAAAAGCUUGAAGUAAACUCACUGAAGCAACUGAAAUCAGCAGAAUUGCUGCAGAUUGAGUCUGAAGUAAAGAACAGUAGAGUUUCACUUUCUACUUUAUAAAUAAAACUUGAGAAUCACGCAAUCAUUUUAAUGUCUAUUCAAAUGAGAGUUAUGUCACCUCUUAAGUGUUCAUCUGGUUAUUAGAUGCAGAUUUCUUUGAUAUAAAGAGCAUAAUUUUGAUAACAACACUGAGAAAGCUGUGCCAGAAUUAUGAAGAAUCAAGACAUCACUGCUUAUUGCUUGAGGACUCCAGGUCUGCUGAGUCUGGUCUUCUGGCUGUUAAAACCAAACUUGCUGAAAAACCCAUGCAGGAGGUGUACUGCCCACCUUGUAUUCCACACGAGAUGACGCGCGCUGGCUCUGACUGAGAAAAUGGGGCUUCCCAGCAAGAAUACAGUGGUUGGAGGCUCAACAGUGUUGGGAGUCUGGAAAAAGAUGAACCCCCAGGCACAGCAGCAGUGACUGUGGGAGAGGAGAAACAAACAUUCUCCUUGCAUCACUCAUGCCAGCAGUCUGAGCAGGAGGAAGGUAGAGGAACACUCCUACAGAGAACCAGGACUGGUUUGUCUCUUUAGAAGGGAGCAAUGGUAUUUUGAACAUUUUUACCAAAUCCCAGAGUGUGCAACAGCAUUUUAUGGACCGGGAAUUAUAUAACCGAAAAACUGUGAGAUGGGAAAGAAUUAUAGGAAGCCAUGGAGAGCUGCAACCUAAGCGUCCUGAAAUCGGUGACCAAGCCCCAAGGAUGCCUCUUGUUACUGCAGCCACUUUCAAUGACUGCUGUUUUUUUGUGUGAUUUACCAGCCCCAGUGAGCUCCCCAAGACAGAAUAGGGAAAGAUGGGCUUCAAGUUGAGCCAGGGGAGAUUUAGGUUGGAUAUCAGGAAACAUUUCUUUACAGAAAGGGUUGUUAAGCAAUGGAAUAGGCUUC